rnacentral:misc_RNA from 1 species
CGUCACUAACUUACCUUUACCAUCCACAGAGUCGGAGUUCUUAGUCUCCUUAGAGCCACGAAUCACCCGAACAGGAUUCUUUACUGAUAUACUAUUCUUCAAAGCUAAAUUACCUCUUUCCAGUUUCUGAUCCUCAGGGGUUUUGGACUUACCCACCACAUUUCCACCUUGCCCAGAAUAAAUCAACACAUCAGCAUCUUCCAGACCGUCAUCAUAGACCCCUGAAGAAACAAUACUAAUCGCGAUUAGCAUACCUCCUUGCUUCAUGUAAUCUAUACCAGCCUGAUACAGGCGAUGAACCCCCACAAUAGCAAGUUCCACCCUGUAUUGGAACUCAUCCCCUACUUCAACUCCGGGAACUUCACCCAGUAUGUGCUGACCCGUGUUAACUUCUUUUCCUUUUUCUUUGAUGAUUUUUG